rnacentral:RNase_P_RNA from 1 species
CAUAGAAAACGAUUGCUGUAAUACAGAGGAAAGUCCAGGCUUCCACAAGCUGCGAUGCUUGUAGUGUUUGUACGUAACGAAUAAAUAAGUUACGGUAGCGUGAGCUAACGACAAGCCUAAGACCUAAACAAUUUUAUUGCAUGGUUGAUAAGCUAUAAAGUGCCACAGAAACAAUUCUAGUUGAAAAACUAGCUGAAAAGAGGUAAACUCUGCAAGGAAGAAACCCAAAUUUGGUAGGGGAAUCGUCUUGAGGGAAAUGAACUAAAAGACGGAUGCUUAAAGCAUAGAUAAAUAAUCGUUUGAAAAACAGAACUUGGCUUACAAAG